rnacentral:rRNA from 1 species
UACAGAGGUGGCAAGCGUUGUUCGGAUUUACUGGGCGUAAAGGGUGCGUAGGCGGCUUUAUAAGUCGGGCGUGAAACUCUGCCGCUCAAGGGCAGAACUGCGUUCGAUACUGUAAGGCUUGAGUGCAGGAGAGGAAAGCGGAAUUCUUGGUGUAGCGGUGGAAUGCGUUGAUAUCAAGAGGAACACCGGUGGCGAAGGCGGCUUUCUGGAAUGCAACUGACGCUGAGGCACGAAAGUUGGGGGAGCAAACAGG